GACGAACGCUGGCGGCGUGCUUAACACAUGCAAGUCGAACGGAAAGGCCCUGCCUUUGUGGGGUGCUCGAGUGGCGAACGGGUGAGUAACACGUGAGUAACCUGCCCUUGACUUUGGGAUAACUUCAGGAAACUGGGGCUAAUACCGGAUAGGAGCUCCUGCUGCAUGGUGGGGGUGGGAAAGUUUCGGCGGUUGGGGAUGGGCUCGCGGCGUAUCAGCUUGUUGGUGGGGUAGUGGCUUACCAAGGCUUUGACGGGUAGCCGGCCUGAGAGGGUGACCGGCCACCUUGGGCCUGAGAUACGGCCCAGACUCCAACGGGAGGCAGCAGUGGGGAAUAUUGCACAAUGGGCGGAAGCCUGAUGCAGCAACGCCGCGUGCGGGAUGACGGCCUUCGGGUUGUAAACCGCUUUCGCCUGUGACGAAGCGUGAGUGACGGUAAUGGGUAAAGAAGCACCGGCUAACUACGUG
rnacentral:rRNA from 1 species